rnacentral:rRNA from 1 species
AUGGUGUUCCCAGGCAGGGGAAGUAUCAGUGUCGAUGCUGACAGUGUUCAAAGGAUCAUGUACCUUGACGCGCUCGUUCAUGACAUCCCAGUAAGCAAUUGUGCAAUACGAUCGAAUGCAUGGGACAGUAACCUAAUUGCCAAGGUGAUCAAGAAGGACACGAUCUCUCCUGGUGUGUUCAGCAAAUUACAACUUAAAGAGGAGUAUAGGGGCACGGAGCAGACACCACUGUUUGGUGGUCUUUUGCAAGCUCAAGCAUUUGUUGCAUCCAAAUUACCACUAACGUACAAUCCGCAGAAAAAGGCAAAGAUUGCCAAAGUGGUCAAUGACUUGUGCAAGGCAGUAACUGAACAGAUUGGCACCUUCAUUGAAGCAGUUGCCAAGAUUGAUGAUGAGGAACUGUAUGUUGAUCCAUAUGUAUAG